AAGAUGAGGUCACACACUCUGCUCAUCUGGGUGUUAAUCCUCUUUAUGAAAGAUGCCAGAGGAGACAUUUUGCUGACUCAGACUCCAGAAUCCCUCUCGGUGUCUCUAGGAGACAGAGUCACCAUCAACUGCAAAGCCAGCACAACCAUCAGCAGCAGCAUAGCCUGGUACCAACAGAAACCAGGACAGGCCCCUAAGCUCCUUUUCUAUGGUUCUUCCUCUCGUCCCUCCGGGAUCCCAGACCGGUUCACUGGCAGUGGAUCUGGCACUGACUUCACUUUGACAAUCACAAAUUUUCAAGCUGAUGAUGCUGGCAGUUAUUUUUGUCAACAGUACUAUGACAGGCCUCCUGGAUACGGUACAGGUUCAGGAGUGGAACUAUUCUGCCACCUCCUCACAGGGAUUGACUCCUAG